UCUGCAUCUUUUACAAUGAACUUGACUUUG
rnacentral:piRNA from 1 species